CUGUAGUGGUGUGAGUGGUUCCUUGACCUACGGUGCCUCGGUUGCUUACAGUGAGGUUGCUAUAAUUUGACUAUACAUAAACAUGAUCUUCUAGCCAUUUGAAUUCUUGUAGUAUAUGUUGGCUAUAAAAGAUUCAUUUUAGAGUAGGAUAUGUACUUAUAAGGGAUCUAUCAACCUUAGUAAAUAAGGAGCAGUCCUAUGGAAUUUGAGAAGCUGAGUCCACAAGUCCAUGGUCAUAGCAAGAUGAUUGAUGGAAAGAGUUUCUAUGAGUAUCACAUUUGGACUUGAGCUA
rnacentral:lncRNA from 1 species